rnacentral:tRNA from 2 species
GGUUAAGUAACAUAAAGGCUAAUGUGCGAGAUUGCAAAUCUUGAGAUGGUGGUUCAAUUCCACCCUUAACCU